AGGUCGAUUUCAGUUUAAGCACAAUUACAUGUACAGUUGUCAUUUUUCAUAGUUUGCAGAUAUGGACGGUUGCAGCUCGGAUAUUGUUUGUGGAUAAUGUUGGAAAACAUUUCGUUCAUGGACAGGUCUUAAUGACCACUUAAACUGGCUACUCGGCACAGGACCUUGUAAACGUUGUGGCAAAUCGAACUGUCACAGAUCCUGGUCCUGGCUGAAAUUGAGAGUAUUGCAGCUGUAGCUUGUAUACCAUACAUUUAACAUGAAAAGGACUGUCAGGAUGCUGCAUACAAUGGUCUUAGCUAGAGCCUAGAAUGAAUAUUUCUUAGGAAAUAUGCUGCAAGAAACUGAAGGGGAGCAGUUUUUCUUACCAAUCAUAGAAGCAAUAAGAGACAGCCAACGAAGUAUUCAAACACCAUCAUGAAACACUUAAGACAUACCAGGAGAGAUCUAGAAGAAGUACUAGUAGUAGAGUGGAACAGAUUGUAGCUUAAUUGUAGCUAAAAGGACUUCUUAAAUCGUUAAAAUUAAAGCUGCACUUGAACUGUCUUUUUUUUUGUUAAACAGUUAAACUCUGUUACUUUGCUUUAUAUUAAAAUUGAAGUAUGUUGAAAUGACAUUGAAACUUUAACGUUGUGCCAACGUUGAAUUUCAACGUUAGUUAAACUUUCAAAUCCGAACAUAAAUCCAACGUUAUUUCAACGUUAA